UUUACCUCUGGGCUGUGAAGGUAAAUUUCGGUUUAUUGCUGUGAAGACCCGAGAGGGUGUUUGAAGAGGGAGUUGAAGUAAGGAGCAGCUUGUGAACGUCUGUCAGGUGAAGCUUGUGCCAGGAGCUUUUGGAGAACUGGCUUUACUUAUAUUCCACCAUCAUCAAUGACAAUAAAGAGCUGGCAAUAAGUCUGCAGUCACCUAUUGUAAAACCAUGAUUAAGACUGCUGCCAUUUCUGGGAAAUCGAAAUAUGGCAAGAAUACAGCUGGAUGCAGUAACGAACAUUUUUAUAGGUUGAAAUGGUACAUAACUGCGAAGGAAAUCUAUAUCUUCUGCUCAAUAUGGACACUGCAGAUAUUCGCUAUUCCCUGGAACACUGAAUUAUAUUCCAUGAUAGGUUUCAAGUGGUGAUGAACUGAAGUUCUGCCGAAGAUUAUCUCAACUUGUAUACUACAUGGAAGAAAUAUAAAUCAUAUAUUAUGUCGCUGAUUCAACAGCCCAGUAAUUAAGCCUGGAUUUGACCUAACUACACCUGCCAAUCUAUGAAUAGAAUUGGCUAUUAUAACGCAGUUAUGAGUUAUUGGUAUAUUUACUAUAAUUUUGAACAGCAGUUGCAUGCAUGCAAGGAAUAUUACCGCUUUCACGUUCUGUUUUUAACAUUCCAUUGCUCAGGAGUGCAAUAGAAGUUUUGCAUAGAUUUUACAUUACUCAUUCUUUAAACAUAGACAGCAAAGAAUUCACAGAGCAAAUACGUACAGUCAAACGAGGUAAUGCAAUUUUUUUUCCUAUUCAUUUGAAGUUCUUGAUGCAUGAAUGUUUAUUUAAAGUAACAUGGAGCCUUAACACCAACUCAUUGAUGUCAUAUUGUAUUAACUUGUUCCAAUCAGUCCUUUUACCCUCAAUAGUUUCCUUACUGAUCUUGUGUUCAUAUUUGCGUAGUAUAAAGAUGCUGAAUUGAGACGGAAAAGAAUAAAGUACAUUUACAGUAAAUAAACUUAGUCACUGUGCCAGAAGUACGUUUUAAGUCUUGCCUUUUAGUCUUGAACUUAGAGUUUCAGAGCUUACGAUGAAGGUGCAAGCAUUUUAGUUUGCUUUCAAUAAAAAUAAAAUAACCUUUAAUCCUACAGAGUUAUUUCAAAUUAAGUUAAUUUUAGUGUAUUCUCUAGUGCCUCAAUAUGAACAUAGUACAUGUUAACUCAAAAAUAGGCUCAAAAGUUACUUGAUGCUGUAGUUGCUUCAUCAUAUACCCGAUAACCUUUAGAUGCCUUAAUUAGCUGGAAUUUAACUCUGAAUUCAGUUGUAUAGGAACUCGGUAAUUAUAACCAGAUUUGCAUUUAUAAAUUUUUAUGCUUCAGCGAGUUUAGAUACCUAAAACUGUGAUUGGUUAUCUGUAUGAAAUCAGUUAACAUUGUCUUGAAUAAGUAUUGAAAUAAUGACUUAGUUAUGAAAUUUGGUAACCUUAAGCAUGUGUUAAAAUUGAGGAAAUUGAACACUUGAGGGUUAAAAGGACCGAAGGAAUAUGGAUGAUCAUGAGUAUUUUAAUUAGUCUUUGACAGUCGUGUUUCCAUUUUUUUUUUUUUUUUUAUUUAAAGAGCCUAGCGUCUGUUAACUGUUCAUAGACUUGUCAUGCUUUAACAUAUGACUUCUCGCCCCCCUGGCCAAAACGA